rnacentral:rRNA from 1 species
UACGGAAGGGGCAAGCGUUGUUCGGAAUCAUUGGGCGUAAAGGGCGCGUAGGUGGUUCUGUAUGUCUACCGUGAAAGCAUACAGCUCAACUGUAUUUUGUCGGUAGAAACUGCAGGACUUGAGGCUGGGAGGGGCUGGUGGAAUUCCCUGUGUAGCGGUGAAAUGCGUAGAUAUCUGGAGGAACACCGGUGGCGAAGGCGGCGUCCUGGACCAACACUGACACUGAUGAGCGAAAGCCAGGGGAGCAAACGGG